AACGAACGCUGGCGGCAUGCCUAACACAUGCAAGUCGAACGACACCUUCGUGUCUAGUUGCGCACGGGUGCGUAACGCGUGGGAACCUUCCCUUAUGUUCGGAAUACCUCCCCUACGUGGGUGCUAAUACCGGGUAAUGUCCUCGGACCAAGGAUUUAUCGACCUUGGAUGGGCCGGGGUUGGUUUAGCUAGUUGGUAUGGUAAAAGCCUACCAAGGCGACGAUCCAUAGCUGGUCUGAGAGGAUGAUCCGCCACACUGGGACUGAGACACAGCCCAGAGUAUUGCGGGAGGCAGCAAAGGGGGAUCUAGGACUACGGGCGAAAGGCAGAACGACCACGGCUGGGAGAGUGAUGAAGGCCGUAGAGAAGUAAAGCUCGUUUACCCGGGAUGAUAAUGACAGUACCGGGAGAAUAAGCACCGGCUAACUCCGUG
rnacentral:rRNA from 1 species